UCCAGCUUAUCGCUGGCGGUCUCCUGCGAGUUGCGCCUUGCGGCAUGCCAACACAGGACAAGGGUUGCGCUCGUUGCGGGACUUAACCCAACACCUCACGGCACGAGCUGACGACAGCCAUGCAGCACCUAGUUUCGUGUCCUUGCGGAAGUCCCGCUUUCACGGGAUGUCACUAACUUUCAAGCCCAGGUAAGGUUCCUCGCGUAUCAUCGAAUUAAACCACAUGCUCCUCCGCUUGUGCGGGCCCCCGUCAAUUCCUUUGAGUUUCAACCUUGCGGUCGUACUUCCCAGGUGGAUCACUUAAUGGUUUCCCUUAGUCGCUGACUGUGUAUCGCCAACAACGAGUGAUCAUAGUUUAGGGCGUGGACUAC
rnacentral:misc_RNA from 1 species